AAGGAAAUAGCUCAGUGGUAUAGCACAUGCUUAGCAGGCAUGAGGUCCUGGGUUCAAUCCCCAUUGCCUCC
rnacentral:tRNA from 1 species